rnacentral:rRNA from 1 species
GUAGGGCGCAAGCGUUAUCCGGAAUUAUUGGGCGUAAAGAGCUCGUAGGCGGUUUGUCGCGUUUGCUGUGAAAUCCCGAGGCUCAACUUCGGGUCUGCAGUGGGUACGGGCAGACUAGAGUGCGGUAGGGGAGAUUGGAAUUCCUGGUGUAGCGGUGGAAUGCGCAGAUAUCAGGAGGAACACCGAUGGCGAAGGCAGAUCUCUGGGCCGUAACUGACGCUGAGGAGCGAAAGGGUGGGGAGCAAACAGGCUUAGAUACCCUGGUAGUCCACCCCGUAAACGUUGGGAACUAGUUGUGGGGUCCAUUCCACGGAUUCCGUGACGCAGCUAACGCAUUAAGUUCCCCGCCUGGGGAGUACGGCCGCAAGGCUA